AGAGUUUGAUCCUGGCUCAGGACGAACGCUGGCGGCGUGCUUAACACAUGCAAGUCGAACGGUGAAGGAGGAGCUUGCUCCUCCGGAUCAGUGGCGAACGGGUGAGUAACACGUGAGCAAUCUGCCCCUGACUCUGGGAUAACCUCGGGAAACCGAAGCUAAUACCGGAUACGAAGCGUGAAGGCAUCUUCAACGCUUGGAAAGAAUUUCGGUCAGGGAUGAGCUCGCGGCCUAUCAGCUAGUUGGUGAGGUAACGGCUCACCAAGGCGACGACGGGUAGCCGGCCUGAGAGGGUGACCGGCCACACUGGGACUGAGACACAGCCCAGACUCCUACGGGAGGCAGCAGUGGGGAAUAUUGCACAAUGGGCGCAAGCCUGAUGCAGCAACGCCGCGUGAGGGAUGACGGCCUUCGGGUUGUAAACCUCUUUUAGCAGGGAAGAAGCGAAAGUGACGGUACCUGCAGAAAAAGCACCGGCUAACUACGUGCCAGCAGCCGCGGUAAUACGUAGGGUGCAAGCGUUGUCCGGAAUUAUUGGGCGUAAAGAGCUCGUAGGCGGUUUGUCGCGUCUGCUGUGAAAACCCGAGGCUCAACCUCGGGCCUGCAGUGGGUACGGGCAAACUAGAGUGCGGUAGGGGAGAUUGGAAUUCCUGGUGUAGCGGUGGAAUGCGCAGAUAUCAGGAGGAACACCGAUGGCGAAGGCAGAUCUCUGGGCCGUAACUGACGCUGAGGAGCGAAAGCGUGGGGAGCGAACAGGAUUAGAUACCCUAGUAGUCC
rnacentral:rRNA from 1 species